UAGGGAAUCUUCGGCAAUGGACGAAAGUCUGACCGAGCAACGCCGCGUGAGUGAAGAAGGUUUUCGGAUCGUAAAACUCUGUUGUUAGAGAAGAACAAGGACGUUAGUAACUGAACGUCACCUGACGGUAUCUAAGCAGAAAGCCACGGCUAACUACGUGCCAGCAGUCGCGGUAAUACGUAGGUGGCAAGCGUUGUUCGGAUGUAUUGGGCGUAAAGCGAGCGCAGGCGGUUUCUUAAGUCUGAUGUGAAAGCCCCCGGCUCAACCGGAGAGGGUCAUUGGAAACUGGGAGACUUGAGUGGAGAAGAGGAGAGUGGACUUCCAUGUGUAGCGGUGAAAUGCGUAGAUAUAUAUAUGAACAAAAGUGGCGAAGGCGGCUCUCUGCUCUGUAACUGACGCUGAGGCUCGAAAGCGUGGGGAGCAAACAGG
rnacentral:rRNA from 1 species